UAUUGCACAAGAAAGAAUCAAGAAAAAAGACAGUGCGGCUCAGGCGGCAUAUACGAAAGUUACUGCCCGGGCGUACCAAGACAAUGGUGCCAUUAUUACAACUACGUGUCGUUUCGGAAACGCCCUUGUGGCUGCAUAGAUGGAACGUGCAGGAAUAGGCACCUGGAAUGCGUGCCGUGUAAAGAAUGCGACAAUUGCACCCACAGAGGACAGGAGCUCUCAAGCGAUGACUACACGUACUUUAAUGACCCUUGUGAAAAAGCGAUUUGCUCCUUUAGGGUUGGCAUCGUUCACAGAUGUCCGAAUAACAAACCAGCGUCAUACAGCAGCUGCGUGACCAAACGUCGAACUGGACGUUACCCAACGUGCUGUCAGUGGGUGACAACCUGUUAGAUACAACUAAGACGAUUUCUCUUCGCUCGCUUGUAGGUUACACGUAUCUCUGUUCGCGCCCUGUAGAGUACCACAAUUUUGUGGAUGAAGAACUAAUAAACAGUUUCUGUUUUAUUUCAA